rnacentral:rRNA from 1 species
CAGUCGCCGCGGGAAUACGAAGGGGGCUAGCGUUGUUCGGAAUCACUGGGCGUAAAGGGUGCGUAGGCGGAUUCUUAAGUCAGGGGUGAAAUCCCGAGGCUCAACCUCGGAACUGCCUUUGAUACUGGGGAUCUUGAGUCCGGAAGAGGUGAGUGGAACUGCGAGUGUAGAGGUGAAAUUCGUAGAUAUUCGCAAGAACACCGGUGGCGAAGGCGGCUCACUGGUCCGGAACUGACGCUGAGGCACGACAGCGUGGGGAGCAAACAGGAUUAGAUACCCCAGUAGUCCCUGUCUCUUAUAC